GACGAACGCUGGCGGCGUGCUUAACACAUGCAAGUCGAGCGGUAAGGCCCUUUCGGGGGUACACGAGCGGCGAACGGGUGAGUAACACGUGGGUGACCUGCCCUUAGCUCUGGGAUAAGCCUGGGAAACUGGGUCUAAUACCGGAUAUGACUCCAUGACGCAUGUUGUGGGGUGGAAAGCCUUGUGCGGCUAGGGAUGGGCCCGCGGCCUAUCAGCUUGUUGGUGGGGUGAUGGCCUACCAAGGCGAUGACGGGUAGCCGGCCUGAGAGGGCGACCGGCCACACUGGGACUGAGACACGGCCCAGACUCCUACGGGAGGCAGCAGUGGGGAAUCUUGCGCAAUGGGCGAAAGCCUGACGCAGCGACGCCGCGUGAGGGAUGACGGCCU
rnacentral:rRNA from 1 species